AAGUGGGCACAGGGGCGUCAGGGGCUGGUGGACCCAGGCCGCUUCUUCUUUCUCCGUCUCGUUUGGAGAGCUCCUUGGGGCUGCUCCAAACCCGAGAGCUUCCGCUUGGCAGCUGCCUCCAAGGAUGCCCAAAGUUCAUCUGUCUCUGUGUCUUCUAGGGGCACCUUGUUGGGUUCUUGAGGCUCUUGGGGCUCAUCCUGGGAGGUCCUCACAUCUAUGCCCUUGGCUCCCACAUUCCCGGGCCCAACUGCUCACCUCCCAGUUGUCCCUGCCUGACAAGAGGAGGCAGUUCAAUUGAGACUUGAGAUAAACCUGCAAAAGAUGAGGGACCUUAAGGAGCCAGGCAUGCUGAGACAGAAACAUGAACGGAGGGCACAGGAGGCGGGGCCUCCACAAGACCAUGAGUUGGAGGUGGGAGAGACAACUUACCUUAUGCUCCAGACCCCGUGGAUUCUGGAUCCUGUGUAUCCUCAAGACUCUGUCCAAGCCACAGGAGGCUAGUAGAGGCUUUGAAGGGUGGCACUGCAACCCACGCACACUGCCUGCCAGCCCCUUCA
ensembl:lncRNA STX5-DT STX5 divergent transcript